CUCUUUAGUUCUGAUCUCACUGCUGAGCUGCACAACAAACCAAGAGACAGAUUUAGCUGACUCAGCAGUGAGACCUGAAGACAUCAGUUAUGGACAAACAAUCAUCAGAACAAGAAGGCCCAGACUUUAAACCAGAUCCUGACAUCAUCUGCUCUUCAGUCCACCAGUCCAACCAGUGACAUCCAGCUGCUGUUCUCCAAUUGAUGCCCCCAACACUUCCGACCAGAGUACAACAUUCACAUGACCAGAUUUUAAUAUUUCUUUCUUACUAAAUAAGAAAAAAAAUAUUUCUCCUUCUUUAUCUCAAAUUUUAAAGUGCAUUUCCUUGUAAAAUCAGCCAUGGUAGAAUAAAUAUGUAUUUUUUUAAUGUCUGCAGUGACAUUGAAAGCGUUUUACUGUUUGACCCUGCUGUUGUUACUGUAGCAGGGAUUUAAUUUCUAAAUAAACUGUUGUUGUCA